UACAUAGCAAAGUCGAGCGAGGCAGAACCAGCAGAUUACUUCGGGUAAUGACGGCUGGGGACGCGGAGCGGCGGGAUGGGUGAGUAACACUGGGGAACCUGCCCCAUAGUCUGGGAUACCACUUGGAAACAGGUGCUAAAUACCGGAUAAGAAAGCAGAUCGCAUGAUCAGCUUAUAAAAGGCGGCGUAAGCUGUCGCUAUGGGAUGGCCCCGCGGUGCAUUAGCUAGUUGGUAAGGUAACGGCUUACCAAGGCGAUGAUGCAUAGCCGAGUUGAGAGACUGAUCGGCCACAUUGGGACUGAGACACGGCCCAAACUCCUACGGGAGGCAGCAGUAGGGAAUCUUCCACAAUGGACGCAAGUCUGAUGGAGCAACGCCGCGUGAGUGAAGAAGGUUUUCGGAUCGUAAAGCUCUGUUGUUGGUGAAGAAGGAUAGAGGUAGUAACUGGCCUUUAUUUGACGGUAAUCAACCAGAAAGUCACGGCUAACUACGUGCCAGCAGCCGCGGUAA
rnacentral:rRNA from 1 species